AUCGCUUCUCGGCCUUUUGGCUAAGAUCAAGUGUUGAAUUUUGUGGAGUGCCUUGGAAGCUCUGCUGGGGAGCACUAUAUAACAAUUUUGAAACUGGGGUGGAAAACCAUUUUUCAGCCUGAGAGCCACAUUUCCUUCUGGGCAACCCUCC